rnacentral:rRNA from 1 species
AUUGAACGCUGGCGGCAGGCCUAACACAUGCAAGUCGAGCGGAUGAAGGGAGCUUGCUCCUGGAUUCAGCGGCGGACGGGUGAGUAAUGCCUAGGAAUCUGCCUGGUAGUGGGGGAUAACGUCCGGAAACGGGCGCUAAUACCGCAUACGUCCUGAGGGAGAAAGUGGGGGAUCUUCGGACCUCACGCUAUCAGAUGAGCCUAGGUCGGAUUAGCUGGUUGGUGGGGUAAAGGCCUACCAAGGCGACGAUCCGUAACUGGUCUGAGAGGAUGAUCAGUCACACUGGAACUGAGACACGGUCCAGACUCCUACGGGAGGGAGCAGUGGGGAAUAUUGGACAAUGGGCGAAAGCCUGAUCCAGCCAUGCCGCGUGUGUGAAGAAGGUCUUCGGAUUGUAAAGCACUUUAAGUUGGGAGGAAGGGCAGUAAGUUAAUACCUUGCUGUUUUGACGUUACCAACAGAAUAAGCACCGGCUAACUUCGUG